UGGGGAAUCUUGCGCAAUGGGCGAAAGCCUGACGCAGCCAUGCCGCGUGGAUGAUGAAGGUCUUAGGAUUGUAAAAUCCUUUCACCGGUGAAGAUAAUGACUGUAGCCGGAGAAGAAGCCCCGGCUAACUUCGUGCCAGCAGCCGCGGUAAUACGAAGGGGGCUAGCGUUGCUCGGAAUUACUGGGCGUAAAGGGAGCGUAGGCGGACAUUUAAGUCAGGGGUGAAAUCCCAGAGCUCAACUCUGGAACUGCCUUUGAUACUGGAUGUCUUGAGUGUGAGAGAGGUAAGUGGAACUCCGAGUGUAGAGGUGAAAUUCGUAGAUAUUCGGAAGAACACCAGUGGCGAAGGCGACUUACUGGCUCAUUACUGACGCUGAGGCUCGAAAGCGUGGGGAGCAAACA
rnacentral:rRNA from 1 species